GAUGAACGCUGACAGAAUGCUUAACACAUGCAAGUCGAUGGGGAAGUGGUGCUUGCACCAUGGCAACCAUGGCGGACGGGUGAGUAACGCGUAAGGGACUUACCUGCAGGACUGGGAUAACAGGGGGAAACUCCUGACAAGACCGGAUAAUGUUAUGGAGCUGCAUGGCUUUAUGAUGAAAGGAGACGCCUGCGGAGAGCCUUGCGUCCUAUUAGCUAGUUGGUGAGGUAAUGGCUCACCAAGGCGAAGAUAGGUAGCCGGCCUGAGAGGGUGGACGGCCACAAGGGGACUGAGAUACGGCCCUUACUCCUACGGGAGGCAGCAGUGGGGAAUAUUGGACAAUGGGGGCAACCCUGAUCCAGCAAUUCUGUGUGCACGAAGAAGGUUUUCGGAUUGUAAAGUGCUUUCAGCAGGGAAGAAGUAAGUGACGGUACCUGCAGAAGAAGCGACGGCUAAAUACGUG
rnacentral:rRNA from 1 species